GGUGUCGGGUUAAGUCCCAUAACCGAGCGCAACCCCUACUGCUAGUUGCCAGCGGGUCGAUGCCGGGGACUCUAGCGGAACUGCCAGCGUAAGCUGCGAGGAAGGUGGGGAUGACGUCAAAUCAGCACGGCCCUUACGUCCAGGGCUACACACGUGUUACAAUGGCCAGUACAGAGGGCAGCCACCCCGCGAGGGGGCGCUAAUCCUAAAAGCUGGUCCCAGUUCGGAUCGGAGUCUGCCAACCCGACUCCGUGAAGCUGGAUUCGCUAGUAAUCGCGCAUCAGCCACGGCGCGGUGAAUACGUUCCCGGGCCUU
rnacentral:rRNA from 1 species